AUUUAAGUAGUUUAUAUAAAAAUAUUAAUUUGUGGAAUUAAAGUAAUAAUUUAUUUAUCUUAAAUA
rnacentral:tRNA from 1 species